CGGGUCCCCGAGCGCGCGGCGCGGAGGGCGGGAGUCGCGCUUUUUACAUCGUACAAGAUUGCAGCAAAGGCUGUAGAUGAAGUACAAGUGGUUGAACAUGAACCAUGCUCUGAGUUAAAUUACUAAUGCUGAAAGAAAAGAACAAAGAUUACAUCAAAAAAGCCCCGUUGAGUGACUGGACUGUACCAUCUACAUUUAGUAUGUGUCCAGGACCACACAGAAGUGAAGCAAAAAGAAUGGAAGAAAACCGUCAGGAAAGCCAUGAUGGUGUUUAUAACAGCUCUUCCUUUCAGUGAGCAUGUAUUUUCACCUGAUCUUGAGAUGGAAGACUUUCUGAUGAUGGAUACUUUGAUCCUCAGGCUUUCACAAUGUGAACAUCUUGCUCUGUGAUUGCAGUGUCUGAAAGUGCAUAUUUUUUCUUCCAAUUGGACAAGCAAAUAUUUUAUCUGUUGAGUAACUGAGGAAACAUUAACCCUUUAAAUACUGUAACAAAUUGAUUGUGUUGCACUUACUUAGAGAUACUAGCUUGGCUUUCAGGAGACAGGUGUCAAAUAGGAAGCAAAUCUCAACUGAGUAAAGAGACAAUCCAUUAUCAAAGACUGUUACAAGAUUAGGAAAAGGUGAGCAUCUGAAGAGGUAGGCUCACCGGUUUGGUUUUUCUCUUUCAGAGAGAAUUAAGUAAGGCUAGAAAGAACUGAAUAAGUGCUGAUGGAAAGGGAGAUGAAAGGUGGCCUGACCUUUCAUUACAUCCGAGUGUUUUUCUUUGCGAGGAGCUGUGUACUCUGCAGGACCUAAGCGGGCCAUGUGCCUGCUCAGGCUGAUGCUGAGCCAAAUUUCAGGGACCUUGGGAAAACAGACAGGCCUAACCAAAAUUUGGUUAGCAAACAUUUUUUUCCUAUUGAUCAGUGGAACAAGAAGUUUAGCUAAUCAUUUAUGAGGCCAAGAAUAAAAACUUGGAGAAUCUCAGUCUGGUUUCGUUAUAGGUAAAUAAAGAAGCGUCUGGAAGAGUUACAUAAGUCACAUGGGACAGAUCAUUUUUUUUUUUUGUACAGUAAGUCAUUUCCUAAAAACAACAAACAUGAGUGAGUUAUUUAACCUUUGGUAUUUUUUCCAGAAGUACAGGGCUCAGUUAUAAUUAAAGUACUUUACACACAUACACAAAGAUGUCAUGAUGAAAUUGAAUUUUAAAAUGCAUGAUGAAAUUGAAUUUUAAAAUGUCAUACAAAUAUUAUGAUAUAUACCAGGUAGGUGCUGGUGGCUCAUGUCUGUAAUCCCAGCACAUAGGGGGAUAAAAUCAGGGGUGUCACAGUUCCUGGACAGGACAGGCAAAAACAUUUGUAGUACACCAUAGCAACUGAAAAAAAAAACAAAACUGAGCAUGGUAGUGUGUACUUGUCAUCCCAGUCACACUAGGAAGCCAAAUAUUAAUAGGAGGAUCAUAGUUCAGACUGUCCUUGGCAAAAAGCAAGACCUAUUUUUAAUUUCUCGAAAAAUCAUCAUAUAUCCUGCUAUGCAGCUCUCAGGCCUAGUCUCCAAAGAAAUGCAAAUCAAUAUACAAGAGACAUAGAGGCACACCCAUGUUUACAGUAGCUACUAGUUAUAGUAGCUAAGAUAUGGAACCAGCCCUGGUGCCCAGCAACAAAUGAUGGAAAAAUGAAAAUACACACAAUGGAACAUUAUUCAGCCAAAAGGAAUGAAAUGCUGUUUGUAGGAAAAUGGACAGAACUGGAGAACAUUAUGUUAAGCAAGAUAAACCAAGCUCACGAAGAUAGAAGUCCAUACUUUUUGCUCAUAUUGUGGAAUCCAGACUUAAAAAAAAAUGCUAUGAAGGGUGGAGAGAGCUGGAAAGAACAGGGUGAUGCAGACAGGAUAUUAUAGAAGUUCAUUAAAUAUAGUUGUGAAAACAGCGUAAUGGAACCCACCAAAACUGUUAAAAAGAAUGGUGAGGGAUGAGGUGAGAGAAGGAUUGGACAGAAAGGAGAAGGGUCAAGAAAGACUCGUACAAGUGGAUGAACUGAUGGAAGGACAUUACCCUCAUGCGAUCAACAUCACAAAUAAACUUUAUACAAGUAUUCCACCCUAAUAAAAAAGUUUAAAAAUGACACAUUAAAAGUGACCAGAGCAAAAAGUUCUGGAAAUGGUGCUUAAACAGAACACUCACUCAAAAAGCACAAGCACAAAACUGAGUUCAAGCUCCAAUAUCAUCAAAACAUACCAUAUUACGUAUAUUACAUGCUGCUUUUAGGGUCAGGAGUAACUUAAAGCAUUUCCCAAGAUAAUUUAAACCUUACAAUGUAACUGUUGCUUACGAUGACUUUAUUACAAUUACUACAUCUACCUAUAGCAGUUUGA